rnacentral:tRNA from 1 species
GUGGGUGUAGCUUAGUUGGCAGAGUGCUUGCCUCGCAUGCACAGACCACUGGGUUUCAAUCCCCUUCACCUCA